GAUGAAGAACGCAGCGAAAUGCGAUACGUAAUGUGAAUUGCAGAAUUCAGUGAAUCAUCGAGUCUUUGAACGCACAUUGCGCCCCCUGGUAUUCCGGGGGGCAUGCCUGUCCGCGCGUCAUUGCUGCCCUCAAGCACGGCUUGUGUGUUGGGCCUCCGUCCUCCUCCCGGGGGACGGGCCCGAAAGGCAGCGGCGGCACCGCGUCCGGUCCUCGAGCGUAUGGGGCUUCGUCACCCGCUCUUGUAGGCCCGGCCGGCGCUUGCCGACACAUCAAUCUUUUUUCCAGGUUGACCUCGGAUCAGGUAGGGAUACCCGCUGAGCUUAAGCAUAUCAAUAAGCGGAGGA
rnacentral:misc_RNA from 1 species